UAAUUAAGAUGAGUAUGAUCCUGGCUCAGAAUGAAGGCUAUAAGUUUGCUUUAAUACAUGCGAGUCUAAUGGUUUAUUAAACAUAAACCAUGGCGUACGGGUGAGUAACAUACGAAUAUUUGCUUUCAACUUUGGAAUAAUUCUAUCCCUACAGGGGAGUAGUUUGUGUUACAGGCAGAAAAAUACCAAAUAAAUAUAUUAAAUAUAUAAAGAAGUGAGUUCGGUUGAAAAUAAUAUCGUACAGUAUUAGGUAGUUGGUAAGGGGUUGGCUUACCAAGCCCAUGAUGCUUAGUUGGUCUGGAAGGAUGAUCAACCACAUUGGGACUGAGACAAGGCCCAGGUUUCUUUGGAGGGCAGCAGUAAGGAAUAUUGGACAAUGGGCGGAAGCCUGAUCCAGCAAGACUUGGUGAAAGAUUGAAGGCUUCGGUUGUAAAUUUCUUUUCUGGUUGAAGAUUAUGACAGUAAACCAAGAAAAAGUCCCGACUAACUUCGUGCCAGCAGUCGCGGUAAUACGGAGGGGGCAAGCCUUAUUCGAAAUAACUGGGCGUAAAGGGUCCGUAGGCUGUUUUUUGUCUGUUCUUUGUUAAAAAGUUGGGCUUAACCUAAUCUCGGCAAAGAAAACAUUAAAACUAGAGUCUGGCAAAUGAAAAUGGAAUAUCUUAAUGAGGGGUAGAAUCCUUAAAAGUAAGGUGGAACAUCAUAAAGGCGAAAGCGAUUUUCUUGUGCAGUACUGACGUUGAGGGACGAAAGCAUAGGUAGCAAGCAGGAUUUGAUACCCUGGUAGUCUAUGCUGUCAACUAUGGAUGCUAAUUCUUAGGUUCUCUGGGAAAUAUACAGUUAACACUUUAAGCAUCCCGCCUGAAGAGUACGAGCGCAAGCUUAAAAAUCAAGGGAAUUGGCGGGGGUCCAAACAAGUGGUGGAGCAUGUGGUUUAAUGCGAUAAUACGCGCGUAACCUUACCAGUUCUUGUAAAUUUGCUAUUUAUAUGGAGACAUGUAAUUUUUAAAAUUUUCAGGUGUUGCAUGGCCGUCGUCAGCUCGUGUUGUGAGAUGUUAGGUUAAUUCCUUAGAACGAGCGAAACCCUUAUAUGGUUCAUGUAUAUUCUUUGAUACAGACCAAGCACUGCAAACGUUGAGUUUGAGGAAGGUGGGGAUGAGGUCAGGUCUUCAUGGCCCUUAUGGACUGGGCUACACACGUGCUACAAUGGGAAAUACAGUUAGUUGCGAUGGUGUAAACCGGAGCCAAUCUUCAAAAUUUUUCUUAGUUCGGAUUGGGGGCUGCAACUCGCCCCCAUAAAGUUGGAAUCACUAGUAAUCGCGUAUCAGGAUGCCGCGGUGAAUAUGUCACUGGGCCUUGCACACACCGCCCGUCACAUCCUGGAAGUUAAUUUUGCUUAAAGACUGUGAAUAGAUCUAAAUUAAGUAUGCUUUUUAGAAAAAGAGAUUUUUACGAGGUAUUCUAAUCUAAGAAAUAUUUCUUUUGAGGGGAGUAUAAAUAACUGGGAUGAAGUCGUAACAAGGUAGUCGUAGGGGAACCUGCGUCUGGUAAUAACGAAAU
rnacentral:rRNA from 1 species